UUCAAGAGGUGAUCCAGGGCUACGUGA
rnacentral:sRNA from 1 species